rnacentral:sRNA from 1 species
ACACGAGAAAGGAGGUGAUCCGGUAGAUGUUGCACACCCGGACGCGUGAGGUGGCUGCGGCCUAGGCCGACGCCACAGUGUGACGCCGGUACGCCGGCCGAUCUCCAGCAGUCACCCGGCCCGUGGGCUCGUCGGACUCGUCCGACCGGCGCCGUUCGCCACCGGCGAGCGGAGCAGCCCGCGGGCCGUCUGCG